rnacentral:ribozyme from 1 species
UGCCCAGCAACUCCUAUCCCAACUUUCUCGCGGUACUGGCCGGGCUACGAGCAACUUUAGGGAAGA